AUACGGAGGGUGCGGGCGUUAAUCGGAAUUACUGGGCGUAAAGCGUACGUAGGCGGUUUGCUAAGUCAGAUGUGAAAGCCCCGGGCUUAACCUGGGAACUGCAUUUGAUACUGGCAGACUAGAGUAUGAUAGAGGGGGGUAGAAUUCCUGGUGUAGCGGUGAAAUGCGUAGAUAUCAGGAGGAAUACCAGUGGCGAAGGCGGCCCCCUGGAUCAAUACUGACGCUGAGGUACGAAAGCGUGGGGAGCGAACAGGAUUAGAAACCCUAGUAGUCC
rnacentral:rRNA from 1 species